AUAACACUUGCAGUAAAAAUCAUGACAGCACAUAGUUUUAAUCACUGUCCGUUGUCCAAGUACAUUCCUGGUCCAAAGCAUAACAGAAAAAAAAAGUACAAAUAUUCAAGGAAAAGAUAGCCAAGAAAAAUAUGGUCAGUCAAGAUACUUAAUUCGGGUUUGUAAGGUAGCUAAUAUUAUUUGUGGAAACUAAUGCUACAUCUGUGCCCAAACUGAAGAGCAAAAACUUUUUAUCAGGAUUAUCUGCAACAUAGUCUUUUCCCGUUUGCAGUUGCACAGCUCAGCCAUUAUUUUGCAUAGAGGAAAGAAGACAAACAUCAUUCUAAGACAGUAUCUGCACAUCAGUGAAAAUUUUCAUGGAAAGUUUUGGUACACCAAAGUUCAGAUAACUUUUGUCAUAGUAGCUGAACACACAAACUGAAUGGGUUAUAUGAAACAUGGACAGCAAGUGCACACCAGUUUAGCUAAGGCCUAAGGUCCCCAAGUGACUACAGUCUAUAAACAAGACUACUUCCAAGGGCUUAGAACAGACAACAGCCCAUGAGAAAACUGACUGUUACCCUACAAAUCUCUGCAGGUAAUUGCCAAAUAUGCUGGUGAUAAAAUAUAUUUCAGUCAGGGCUAGAAUGUAUAAAUGUUAGAAGGUAUUAAUGUUAGAGGAAGCUACUGUAUACCUAUAAGCAUAAAGAUUGCUGAGAUUGUUAUCCAGGAAGGUUGGUAAGAGUGCCACUCAGCUUCUUUUCAUUGUAGAACACAACCAUGGCAAUUUGGUUAAUUGGACAGUUAAAGUUGCUCUUGAUCCAUUCACCACUCAUUCUCUAUUAUAUCUGGGGAUUUCCUAGCCCAGCUGCAUGACCUUGUCCUCUUGCACUUGGCCUCUUUGAACUUCAUGAGGUUCAUGGGCACCUUCCUCAAACCUGUCAAGACCCCUCUGGACAUCAUCCCUUCACUCUAGCAUAUCAACUGCUCCUUCCUCCAAGAUGAGACAGUUUGGGCCUUUCUCACUCCCUUCUCUCUUUUUCUUCAGCCCUCUUAGGAAGAAACCAAGAAACUGAAAUCUUGGCCUUGCUCUUGGCAGUCCAAGAUCAAAAAGUUUUACAGAGAACAAUGAAACUCGGUAUCAAAAAUCUAAUCCUAUAACAAAUAUAAUAUGUUAAAAUUUGAAAGGUUUCCUUUGAAAAUGAAGAGAUGUAAAUCUGAAACUGAAGAGGACAUGCUUUGGGGAGACCAGAAUUUUAGAAAGGUGAAGCAAGGAAUGGAGGUGCAUUAUAGAAAGGAAUUAAAUGGACAGAGUUAUAUUGAACUUCUCCAAUACUUAAUUUGAAUUAAAAAGUAAUGUACAUAUAUUUUUGGAUGAAUAGUUCAUAAUUCACACUGCUGAAUAUUGUCUGAUUCCUGAAGAGUUCAUAAAACAUAAUGACUUGGAUGUA